GACGAACGCUGGCGGCGUGCCUAAUACAUGCAAGUCGAGCGAGCUUGCCUAGAUGAUUUUAGUGCUUGCACUAAAUGAAACUAGAUACAAGCGAGCGGCGGACGGGUGAGUAACACGUGGGUAACCUGCCCAAGAGACUGGGAUAACACUUGGAAACAGAUGCUAAUACCGGAUAACAACACUAGACGCAUGUCUAGAGUUUAAAAGAUGGUUCUGCUAUCACUCUUGGAUGGACCUGCGGUGCAGUAGCUAGUUGGUAAGGUAACGGCUUACCAAGGCAAUGAUGCAUAGCCGAGUUGAGAGACUGAUCGGCCACAUUGGGACUGAGACACGGCCCAA
rnacentral:rRNA from 1 species